rnacentral:rRNA from 1 species
GAGGAAUAUUGGACAAUGGGCGCAAGCCUGAUCCAGCCAUGCCGCGUGCAGGAUGAAGGCCUUCGGGUUGUAAACUGCUUUUGUACGGAACGAAAAGACUCUGGUUAAUACCUGGGGUCCAUGACGGUACCGUAAGAAUAAGCACCGGCUAACUACGUGCCAGCAGCCGCGGCAAUACGUAGGGUGCGAGCGUUAAUCGGAAUUACUGGGCGUAAAGCGUGCGCAGGCGGUUAUGUAAGACAGAUGUGAAAUCCCCGGGCUCAACCUGGGACCUGCAUUUGUGACUGCAUAGCUAGAGUACGGCAGAGGGGGAUGGAAUUCCGCGUGUAGCAGUGAAAUGCGUAGAUAUGCGGAGGAACACCGAUGGCGAAGGCAAUCCCCUGGGCCUGUACUGACGCUCAUGCACGAAAGCGUGGGGAGCAAACA